ACCCUCUCUGGAUCUCACCCGGAGAGUUUCCGGUACUCUACCAGUCUCGGUUACGGGAGGGAGAGUCAAGCAGAGGCAUACUCAUUCCAUCCCUAGCUUGGGCAGUGGCUAGCGAGCGGAAGGCAAUCUACUACAAGU